UACGGAAGGCAGCAGUGGGGAAUAUUGCACAAUGGGCGCAAGCCUGAUGCAGCCAUGCCGCGUGUAUGAAGAAGGCCUUCGGGUUGUAAAGUACUUUCAGUCGUGAGGAAGGUGUUAAGGUUAAUAACCUUAGCAAUUGACGUUAGCGACAGAAGAAGCACCGGCUAACUCCGUGCCAGCAGCCGCGGUAAUACGGAGGGUGCGAGCGUUAAUCGGAAUUACUGGGCGUAAAGGGCACGCAGGCGGUUAAUUAAGUUGGAUGUGAAAUCCCCGGGCUUAACCUGGGAAUGGCAUUCAAGACUGGUUAGCUAGAGUCUUGUAGAGGGGGUAGAAUUCCAUGUGUAGCGGUGAAAUGCGUAGAGAUGUGGAGGAAUACCGGUGGCGAAGGCGGCCCCUGGACAAAGGCUGACGCUCAUGUGCGAAAGCGUGGGGAGCGAAACAGGGAUUUAGAUACC
rnacentral:rRNA from 1 species